UACGUAGGGUGCGAGCGUUGUCCGGAAUUAUUGGGCGUAAAGGGCUCGUAGGCGGUUUGUCGCGUCGGGAGUGAAAACACCGGGCUUAACUCGGUGCUUGCUUUCGAUACGGGCAGACUAGAGGCAUGCAGGGGAGAACGGAAUUCCUGGUGUAGCGGUGAAAUGCGCAGAUAUCAGGAGGAACACCGGUGGCGAAGGCGGUUCUCUGGGCAUGUCCUGACGUGAGGAGCGAAAGUGUGGGGAGCGAACAGG
rnacentral:rRNA from 1 species